AGGAGCCGUAUUGUCUACAGUAUUGUUAGGAAGAACGUUUACAAGCGUGCAAAAUUGUCAUAGCUUCGUGCUUGGAUUACUUAAUGUUCACGAGAGGGUGAGGGGAGAAGCCCCCGUGCUAGAUGCUGUGACGGCACUAUACAAACUCUUGCUGCGUGCCGCGUUAACGGUUUCAGAAGCUGAUUUAAAACAUAAAGGUCAAAUUCUUCCCUCUAUUUCACCUGAGCAGCAAAAGUGAGGCUGUGAAGGUUUUAUCUUAAGUAGCACAGUCAUUACCGUGUGAUCAAGUGAGGAAAGGGCCGAGCAGAUAGCUACGCUGGCGUGCUGAAUGGCUCACCGCAGCACCGUGCACACAGUUUAUUGUUUUCUUAGCAACCGCGACGCGGUGGACAUCUUACAGCCAAAAUAGCCCUGGCUUCAGCUCCCAGAAGAUUACAGCCUGGUCAGUGCGGGAAAAUCCCUGUGACUUGGUGUAGGGACCGUUGCCAUCAGAUUAGUGAAUGCUUAAGGUAAUAAAUCAGCUGCUGAAAUGAGGUUAAAGAAGGCAAGGAGAUAGGGAGCUGAUGGAAAGUAAUAAAUGGACGUAGAAAUCAGGUAAAGGAAAGAAGGUCUCUGGGCUGAGCUGAGCAGUUGCAUGGACAAUAAAAUCCUACACAGCAACUGAGAAACAUCUUUUCCUUAUAAUGUCCACUUUGUGAGGCUACUCAGCUGCGACAAGAGAAACACAUAACUGCUCUAAAGGGUCUGGCUCCAGGAAAUAGAUGGUUUUUUUCCUAUGAAAGCGAGUGAAUGUUUUCUUAUUUUCAGGAGCUAAUUAUAACUCCAGUCCAUGCUCUUGGGAUGGCUUUGACCCCUUUGCCCUGAUAACUGCAGUUUAAAGUGUUAAUGUGGCAGUUAAAGAUCACGGAGUGCUUGCAGCGCUCUCAGCCUGUCCCUCAGAACAGCGCCGAAAUAGCCGCGUCAGUUCCAAUCGUCGGUCUGGUUGUUAGAAGUGAUGCUUCCAUGGAUGUGGCAGGUGAACAAAGAAAAGUGUCCUUGCAAUGAAAACCCCAAAGUAGGAGCAGGCCUGUGGUCCUCUCUGGAAAUAAACAACACACUUGCCAUGCUGAGUCAUGUAGAUCUGUCACCAAAGAAAAGAGCCCUGAGUGAGAGCUGAACUAAUGGCAGGAUUCAGAGACUUGUGAAGAGCACAGCCUUGUCAACUGAAACUUGUGUGGGCUGCAACAACUCGUGAAAAGCACUGAAAUCGAAGAAGCUACUUGUAAAUUAUGCUGCUGCUCUGAUGCAUCUGUACAUCAAGGUGGGAUAGCAGGGUCUCCAACGGUUCAACCAAGCAGGAUGUCCUUAUGACUGCAGACAGUGCUGUUCCUCUCGCCACAAAGUUAAGCAAUGGAGGUAACCUGCCACAGAAUGCAAAAGCUCCUUACAGGCCCUAGAUAGGGAUCAUUAAAGCUGGAAGAUUUUUGCUGAAAGAGGCAGAACAUCAGCAUUCAGCAAGUACUCAAGCUGAGGGAGCCCCAUACAGAAGGAGCUGCGAUCUUCAGCCCAGUAACAA